AGCCCGGUGGUGUAGUGGCCAAUCAUACGAGACUUUGAAUCUCGUUACCGCGGUUCGAAUCCGCGUCGGGCUA
rnacentral:tRNA from 2 species